UACGGAUAUCCAUCGGGAUCGAUCUCGAACUUCUUUCUCCUUGUAGAAGACUCUUCUUCCUAAGAAGAACCUCGGCCUUGAACACUUUGAUCAACUCCUUGAUUAGGACUGCAGGAUCAACUCCUUAAUUAGCAGCCUUCUUCUUUUUCUUCUCCUCAAUCUUCAAUCUUUAAGUCACCAACACUUCUUCUUGGCGUGUGGAAGAGGGGUACCCAACUUUUGGGCAU
rnacentral:lncRNA from 1 species